AAAAAAAAAAAAGCAAAAAAAUCAUUAUUCUUACCGUAAAGCAUAUAUACUAUUCAACCUGUCAUUCUCUAUCUAUAUGAUUCAUCCGGAUCUUUUUUUACUAAAUCCACCUAGUUCAGAAUUCAGACUAUUGAAAUUUGAUUCAACAGCUACAAAUAAGGAGUUAUUUUAAAAAUUUGGGAUUAAAAUCCAACGGCCUGAAUCCCGAACUAGAUAGAUUUGGUGGAAAAUGAUCAGGAGAUGAUCCCUUUCUUAUGAUCAAAGUCUAAAAUAUCGAUGAUAUCGGAAAUAUUGGUAGUCCAAAAACACGGAAAUUUCGAUGGAAAUAUCGGGAUAUUAUCGAUAUCGAUAAAAAUUGAAUAAAAACUACGAAAAUUGUAAGAAAAACUUGGAAAUUUUUAUUGAAAUUUUGCAUAAUGUUUAUUUAGUCAAUUAUCUAUUAGUUAAUCAUAAAAAAAUUGGAAGGACAUAAAAAAUUGGAAGGAAAUGCAUUGCAUGAUGGAUUUAACUGAUUUAAGUUGAUUAUAUAACGAGCUAGCAAACAUUGUGAGUGUAGAAAAUAUGUAGUAAUUAAUAAAAGAAAUUUAAACACACCAUAAUCAUUUAUAAUAAUGAAUUGGUACAAUAUUUUACACUUUAUACAUUACAUGGUAAAAUACAUGAGUGACCUAGUACAAUAUAGAGUUCCUAUCAAUGUCUAAAAUAUCGAUGAUAUCGAAAAUAUCGGUAGUCCAAAAACGCAAAAACUUCGAUAAAAAUAUUAAGAUAAUAUCAAUAUUUUAGACUUUAAUUAUGAUUCAAUAUAUGUUUACUGAAUCUGCUGCAGCAACUCAAAUACCCAUCUCAUGAGCACCAGUUACUGCCCCCUCAGUCGACAGGUGUCCCGGCAAAGCGUGCUGUUUGUGACAAGAUAUGGACAACAAAUAUCUCAAAACCAUGCAUGCUAUGCAGUCGUAGUGAUUUUUGCAAGUCUCAAAAAAGUUGCUUCAGCCCAGACAACUUGCGGAAGUUUGGGACCAAAGCCAACUAUAACGCAGCACACCAACCACAACUCUGAGAGAGCCUUAUCUUCCGGCACUUACAGUACGAACCAUCUCCAUUAAUGACUUCAUGCUUCACGAAAACAAUCAGCCAUUGGCCAACAAAACAGCUUUUCGUAUCAUCAGCUUAACUGAAAAGCGAAAGUGAAAAAUAUGAGUCAAAUCAGAAUUAUGAGACAAGUACUAUCUUUGUUAAGCAUAGUUAGCGUCUGUUUAGCACGGGUCAUGCUUAGGCAACUAGGGCAGGAAUCUUCUCUAAUGUUCAAACUAGGCACUGCAAUGAUUGUCCAUGUUUAAGAUGGUUUAGCACUGAAAGAUUCUACUCUAUCUCCAAGGAUAUGUUUUUAUGUGCAUGUCUAACUGACCACGUUUCUUUUUAACACCAACUAUUGUUCAGUUACAACUGUAUUUAAAAUUGUGAUAUUUUAAAUCAUGACAUGUAGAUAUAUUUCAGAUGGAUGAAUUCAAAUAUUUUAUCCUACUACCGAAGAUAUAUCUCUAUGUAAGUGCUUCAGUCAUCAUACUUCUCAUAGCACCAACUAUUGUCAUAAUUGUACCCAAAAUCAUGACACUUGAUAUAUUUUAAAAUAGAUUUAGCACGGAAAUAAUCUAUCCUACCACCAAGGAUAUAUAUCUCCAUGUAAGUGCCUCGAUCUUUAUAUUUUACAUAAGCAUUAGCUAUUGUCAAGCCAUAACUGUAACCAUAAUCAUGACAUACAUUAAAAUGGAUUUAGCACCUAAAUAAUCUACCCUACCACUGAGGAUAAUGCCUCUGUCAUCACUUCUCAUAAGCACCAGAUAUUGUCAACCCGUAACUGUAACCAUAAUCAUGACGCUUGAAUUAUUUGUAUGUUUAUGCCAUAUGAACUGCCAGGACAAAGAAUAUAUAUGUAUAUACAUAGUUGCGCCAAAAGUGGAAAGAUGUGAUCAUGUGAAUUUGCCUUUAAAAUACCAAUAAAGAAGCAAACUCCACCAAAUUCAAAGGCAGCGGAGAGCCAACUUCAACAAGCUAGCAUGGAUGUAGAGAAUGUCUUCCAUAUGACUGGAGGAGUUGGCCUUACUAGCUAUGCCAGAAAUUCUUCACUCCAGGUUCUCUCCCUAACUCUCUCUCUCUCUCUCUCUCUCUCUCUCUCUCUCUCUCUCUCUCUCUCUAUAUAUAUAUAUUCUUAAUUUUGUCAUUUAAUUGAUGUUAGAAGUGUUAUAUAUAUAUGUGUGUGUUCACGAUGUUUUUUCCUAAUUAUAUUUUUCUUUCUAAUUCUGAUCAACAGAAGAAGGCACUGAUAUGUAAAAAUUAUUUAAGAGGCAAUUACAAAAAAUUACCUCACCACAACUCCAAAGAGCUUAGGCAUAGCUGAUUUUGGGCUGUUCAAUCUGGACCCAACACCUUAU
rnacentral:lncRNA from 1 species